UAUCAGGUGACUGAAAGUAAGUAUUGGUCUUUUAAACCUUUUAUAGUAGAAACGCCUACUUCUGAUAA
rnacentral:tRNA from 1 species